rnacentral:tRNA from 1 species
GCCGCGUUCGUCUAGUGGCUAGGACACAUGGUUCUCAUCCAUGCAACAGGGGUUCGAUUCCCCUACGCGGCACCA